GCUUUCUCUACUUGGUGAAAUGUGGUGACAUUUCUCCCAACCCUUUUCCCAGGAGAGAGGG
rnacentral:miRNA from 1 species